AGAACUAGAAAGAAACGAAAAAAAAAAGGAGAGAGCGAACGGACAUACAAGCAGCAACAACCCAGUUGAGCAUGAAAGUGCACAACCAUCGUACGGCGCACGACAUACGGAGGCUUGCAGAAGCGAAAGGAAAUUUCGUUUUUCUUGGCUUGUUUUGCAGUUGAUCUUCUCCUCCCCCUCCCUCUCUUCCUCUUCCUCGGUUUCUCGGCGUGUUGGCGUUUCUUUCUUAUUAUUGCUUACUUUCUUCGGAUUUUUGAACAUUGUCACUGUCGCCUCUCUCUCCCUUUUCGUUUUUUUUUGUUAUAUUUUCUUUGUCUUUUGCUCCCUGAUCUUCCCGGGUUCCGGUUGUCCUUCAGGUGCCCCUAUUUCUCGCUUUUGAGGUAGACAUUUUCGGUUCGUCUGGGCUGCCUCUUGCAGUUUGUGGUGCUUCUUCACGUUGUCCAUCCCUCCUUGCUCUCCUCCCUCUCACCACCCGCCUUCUUUUCGCCGCGUAGGUGCAGACCAGAUUUUUAUGUGCGUGAAAGAGCUCAAUUUUCAGUGGCGUGUGCCUUUGUGUAUGUGCGUGUGUCCCAUUCUCUCUUUCUGCUUGGACUGGGCGUAGCUGCUUGCACUGCUUUAUUUCUGGGUUUUUGUCGCUCUCUCUUUUUUGUUUCCUUUUUGUUUUCGGUGUGGGCUUGCUUCUCCUCCUCUCCAGCGACACAGCACUCUCGUGCAUAUUCUUGACGGAUGCGUAGGCACUCGCGCCUGCCGGGGUUCAUGUUGUUCUAAGUGUGCAUAUUGGUGCAUUGAAGUGUGUGAUUUCCUUAUUCCUUUUUCAGCCCGUCUCGCUUCUUCUUCCCUCGCUUCACCCCGCUCAUGUUGGAGGCGGGUGCCGUUUUGAUCGUGUCCUCCUUCAUCUCUCCCCAUCUGCUUCUUUUUUUUUCGUGUUGCGUCGACGUUUUAUCCGCGUGUCGUUGCCCUACUCUCGCGCUCUCUCUUUCUCCGUGUCCUUUGUUAUCCGCUCUCUUAGAGCCGUUCUCUGUCUUUCUUUCUUCCACCUCGUUUGAUUCUCGUGCAUAGGCCCACCACCGCGGCGACGUCCAGCCAACCGCAGUCGCCGUCUGUCACGGACUCCAGGCAACGUUUCUUGUCUUCAGAUUGUGACGGUGCUCACGUGUGUCCAGGUGAGCGGCUCAGUGCUGUCCUCACCGCUCUCUCUGUUUCGCGCUGUCCCUGCCAAGGACAGACCCGCGUGCAAGACGGGUUGUGCAGUGCCGCGUUUUAUGCGUUAGAGGCGAACUUUGCCUUGCUCGUCAUCACCAACUCGCCUGGGCCCCACCUCGUUCCACCUUGGCCCUCUCUGCUUGACAAGUAGAAGGUCAGAAGGGGAGACGCUGUUUUGGAGAGAGGAGCGCGAAGACUGUGCGUUGUAGCAAACAUUGUUCGGCUUUCUCUCUGUCUUUGGGGUAGCUCCGCGUGGCAGCGGCUCCGCGUCGUGGCGACCGAUACCAACACAGACGACGACGAAAACAAAAACAGGCAAGCGACCUUCUUUCAGGACACACCGAGGGGUACGCAGGUACAGAGGUACUCAUCUCCGCAGAGGGAGGGAGGCCUAGGCUGCAGGGAAGCAGGCGUAAAGCUCAAGCGAGAGAAAGCCGGGCAUAUACACACGAGCACGAACAGAGAGCAACGCUCUGGUGCGCAUACGCAACACGAACAACGGAAAAAUAGGAGACAUAAAAGUCAGCCACCAAGAAAAACACACACCGACGAGCCCAACUGUUUUUUUUUUUCGGGUGAGGUGGGGGUGGUGGUGGUGGAGAUUCUUGUUCUCUGUUCCCAUUCCUGUCCGUCGGCCAUUUCGCCUGCUCUCUUUCCCUUUACGACCUCCCCCCUCUCUCUUUUCUUGUUUUCAGUAGUUGGGUAAUUCUGCGCAUAAUAGAAAACAUAUAUAGAUAUAUAUGUGUGUACGCGCGCGUGUGUGUUUGCUGUUUUGCUCGGUGGCCGCCAAGAAGGACUCGACGAAGGUGCUGUUUUGCAGAAUUUUUCUUUUUUCAUUAUUCAUCUUUGCCUGCGGCGGUCUCUCUGUGUCUUUCUACGACCUCCUCUGCGGUACGGAAGGCGGUGCAUCAUCAGCGCGUCUUCGUCACCAGCGCACCCACUGUGCAUUGCAGUAUUGCUGUGCUCCACCGUCAACGCCCCCUCUCUCUUUCGCGUUUUCUCACUGCGCGUACGGCGCUUCAUUCUAUUCAUCCGUGAAUGUGAGCUGCUGGAAAGGAAUACACGGAGUGCCCAUUGCCUUUUACCGAGUCCCUUGAGUCUUCCUCACCGAACUGCUCCCCGUAUAUUUUUUACCUCUCCGUUGUUGUUCGGGGGUGGGGGGAGCUCGUUGUGUGCCUCUGUUUGUCUGUCUCUGUGUCUGUGCGUGUGCGUAGCAACUCACCAUCUCACCAGCUUUCUUGCCCCGUUUGAUUCCUUUCGUGUUUCUCUCUUUGCAUUCCUGUAGGCGUCAUCACUUCUUUGCAUCGACACUUGCUGCGUGUUUGCGUGUGCGUGUGUGGCUCUCCCCUCACCUUUCCCCUGUCUCUCUCGCUCUGUCGCUCCGGUGAACAGGCUGAGCCGCUUCUCCACGUACCUCCGUGCACUUGCCCCUACCUGAACCACCGCCGUUGCCAUCCUCGAAGCAAGACAAACAUGUCAGGGCCCAUACGACUCUUCGAGCGGUACACCUGAUUCUCUUCUCCCUUUGUCGUUCUGUUUUGCGUUGUUGUUGUUUUUUUUUUUCGCCUUUUGCUCGCUCCCAUAGUUUGUGGCGGUGGUUGCGUCUUGCAGCAGAGCUUCUGCUUGAACGAGUGCUAGCCGUGCUUCUUUAUUCCCGCAGGGGUCGUGGCCGGUGAGGUGAGUGUUUGUGCCAUAGGUGUGCGGGCUCAUUCCUGUCUCGCUCGCUCUCACUCUUUCGCGCUUCUGCACUGUUGUUCUUGGCUGCAACUUUGUUGCUCGCUGCGAGGGGGCCGACCUGCGUCUUGCAGCCCUCUUCCUUUCUCCCUCCGCCACCUCUCACGCACAUCUACGACUCUCUCUGCGUUCCGGUGGGCGUGCGGUGCUUGCAUACAGACCCCAGACCGUCACACAUCCAGCAGCCGUGCCCUUAGACGCUUCCGCGUGUGUUUAAAUUUCUCGCUUCCUCAACGUUGUGCGUGUUUCGUUGGCGGGGAUCGUACGGCGGAUGCCGUGCGUGUGCUCAGGCCCCUACAUGUCUAUUUCCUCCCGCCAUCGUUACAAGAGGCCACUGCAGCGUGGCCUGCUCAGCGUAUGCGCGUUGGCGCUAUUCGUUUGUGUGGUGUUCAGCUAUGCCUCCGCCCCUGUGUACGACGCGAGCAAUGUGAAGAUCAUCGUGGAAAACACGUUUGAUUCCACUCAGCGCAGCUCUCACAUUCAGGUGUGCGAGGCGAAGGGAGGUGUAUUGGUGCCAGACGUAUCUGACGCCAUUCACCAGGAGCUGGUGAACAAGAUGACGGCGGCGGGUGCGAUUAGCUAUUGUGGCUACCUGGGAGGCUCCACGAUUCUGUCUUCCUCCCAGUGCACAACGUCCAAGGCCACGCUGAACUGCAUUUGGUAUUGGGACCAAGGGCGGUACAGCGGCAUCGAGAACGCCUACGCCUUUUACAAAGGCAACUACUUCCCUGCCUCGGGGAGCAACGGUGGUUUGGUCGGUGCGGGCAUGCUCAGCACGGACUCGAGUAACCACUGGACGAAGAAGAAGGGUGUGCAAGCAUACCCGGGAAGCAAGCACCAGCGCUACGCGAUGCUCAUCCUGUCCCAGACGUCUUCAACGGCAGGCUGGAUGGACAGUAGUGAAAGCUGGUUUUCGUACGGUGAAGCCCCGACGAACCGCUACUAUGCCAUGUGCCUCGUCGAGCCGGCAACAACGACUACGACGACCACGACAACGACGACCACGACAACGACGACCACCACCACGACUACCACCACGACGGCCAUGCCACCCACGACGGCAAUGCCUCUGAUUACCACAACUACAACCAAGACGCCUCCUACUACCACCACGCUGCCACCCACCACGAGCACGACCAGCGAACCGACGACACAGGAGGAGGGCGACCAGAAGGUGACCAUGUGGGUCGGUAUCUCAAUCUUCCUUGUACUGGUGAUUGCCCUUGUUUUUGUCCUCAUCAUGGGCAGAGCUCGGCAAAAGGGCUGGUGUUGCUUCGCGGCCAAGGAGCCUGCAGGCGCCGUGUCGACGACAUCGGGCGAGUUGGUUGCCCCAGCGGCGUCGUUGAACGAAAAGCGACGCAGGUCGCGGCGCUCCAGCCUCGCGCCAAAGUCGUCCUUUCGCUCGAACGGCAGUAGCAGUGGGACUGUACGCUCCUUUCACGCCGCCUCACCCAGCAAGGACCGUUCCGGGCGCCGGUCGAUUCUCCGAAACGAUGACGAACAGAUGGAGGACUAUCCGGAGCGCCAAGACUCCUGUUGUAGCGCCCGCAGCGAGGACCUCGCAGCGAGUGAGAGGUUCGACCCUAUUGCACCGGUGGAGAUGGUGCCUCUCCGAUACUCGGAGCAGCUGAUGGUUUCGACUCUUCCAGUGGAACUCGCCCAACCGCCCCUCUAUAGCGAGCCGCUGAUACAACAAUCGUUGUGGAACUCGCGGUCUUCUGAGUGCGCAGAUGAGCGCAUCAUGGACACUCCGCGGCCACGACUGCGCCGCACCUCGAGCGUGAGCUUCAUCGACUAAGCGAAACGCUUGCGAGCAGAAACGAUAAUGUAAAAUAUCGCCGUCACGCGAAAUAAAAAUGCGUGGCAAAUGGAAAGGGGGGGGGUCUACGCGAAGAAAACAAAAAAAAGGUGCGUUUUCACUUUUGAUGCGUGCUCGAGAAUACGCACGCGUAUUCUUUCGAUUGUGUGACGAACACGAAAGGGUAGAGAGCCCCCAUCACCACCACCACCACCGACAGACGCACAUACAUACAUAUAAUAUCUGUGUGUGUUGUGACUUGUGCUUUCUUGUCUUGUCGGCUUCCUUGUGCUAGUUCCUUCAUGUGUGUGUGUGUGUUUUCACCUUGUUGCUGUAUUCGGAUGUUGCGGCGUAUGCCUGUCCUUUCCUUGUGGUGUUCUUCGGCAUCUGUAUGCAUGUGCACAGUGCGGCUCCUCCAGGCUGCCGUUUCUAUCUCUUCCUUUUUACUCUUUGGCUCUCGUCCUCCUCCAUUCGUAUCUGUUUGUUUUCCUUUCCUCGUUGGUGCACGAGCUUAUGUGUGUCAUGUGUGUCGGGUCGUCGUGAGUGUCCGCGUGUGGCUGCGGCUCCUGUGCGCCUUCCUUCUUGCUCUCAUCUCUUUGUUUUGCUUGCACAUGUGAUCAUUGGGGCUUCGAGCCUACUUCCUGCGCCUUCUUCUUUUUCUAUUCUUGUCUCGUUGUUCGGUGAUUGCUGCCGUGAUCAUCGUCCUUCCACGUGCUCCGCUUGUCGAUGUCCAUGCUCUCUUUGUCUUCGGCUCUCUCCCCCUCUUGCUUCUCUGAAUUUCGUUGUGUUCCAUGUACAUCCUACCCCCUCCCCCUCUCACGCACCCGUACCCGCACGCGACCUCUUCCUUUUGUCUUCCUCUUUUCCGUCGAUCUCUUCAUGGGAAGGAAGCGUGAUGUAGUCGAUGUCCUGUUUGGCACGCACACACGGUAGGCACACACGUUAAGGUAAGAAUACGUGGCAGGAACCUUGCCCGAGUGCGAAAGGUGCUCGAGGUCGAACAAGGCGCACGAAGGCUCGCUCCGGCUCGACGAAAGGAAGAGAAGACGACCAGGUGCGUUGACGGAGCUGUGCGCAGCGUGUCAUCAAGCACGCUGCUCCGGCGCAUCCCGGGUCAUUCGAUUUGCGCAAAGAGACAGAGAACGAGGGUGCAACAGGCAGCCUGGACGGGCAUUGGUACCCAUGGGCUGCCUGGUUGUGCUGAUGUCGCUCUCUUAUGAGCAUCUGCCACGCUCUCUCAAUGAAGGUAUGCUCCGCUCCACAGCUGUGCCUCGAAUCGACCUUGACGCUUCGCUGCUCUCUCACUCUUUUCCGUGACGUGUGCCCCACGUACGCUCCUCCUCUUCACAUCCGUCUGCGCGCCACAUGUAAACAUGUGCACACGGCGCCCACUGUACCUGUUCUCCUUGUUGGCGCGGCCGCUUGUUUUCGACCUCUGUCCUCACUUUACAG
rnacentral:misc_RNA from 1 species